rnacentral:rRNA from 1 species
UACGAAGGGGGCUAGCGUUGCUCGGAAUUACUGGGCGUAAAGCGCACGUAGGCGGCUUAUUAAGUCGGUGGUGAAAUCCUGGAGCUCAACUCCAGAACUACCUUCGAUACUGGGAAGCUCGAGUCCGGGAGAGGUGAGUGGAACUGCGAGUGUAGAGGUGAAAUUCGUAGAUAUUCGCAAGAACACCAGUGGCGAAGGCGGCUCACUGGCCCGGUACUGACGCUGAGGUGCGAAAGCGUGGGGAGCAAACAGG